UACGGGGGGGGCAAGCGUUGUUCGGAAUUAUUGGGCGUAAAGGGCUUGUAGGCGGCCAACUCAGUCAGACGUGAAAUCCCUCAGCUUAACUGGGGAACUGCUUCUGAUACUGGAUGGCUUGAGUUUGGUAGAGGGAUGCGGAAUUCCAGGUGUAGCGGUGAAAUGCGUAGAUAUCGUGAGGAACACCAGAGGCGAAGGCGGCUACCUGGACAAUUACUGACGCUCAGGCACGAAAGCGUGGGGAGCAAAAGGG
rnacentral:rRNA from 1 species